GAUGAAGAACGCAGCGAAAUGCGAUAAGUAAUGUGAAUUGCAGAAUUCAGUGAAUCAUCGAAUCUUUGAACGCACAUUGCGCCCGCCAGUAUUCUGGCGGGCAUGCCUGUUCGAGCGUCAUUUCAACCAUCAAGCCCCCGGCUUGUGUUGGGGACCUGCGGCUGCCGCAGGCCCUGAAAAGCAGUGGCGGGCUCGCUGUCACACCGAGCGUAGUAGCAUACAUCUCGCUCUGGGCGUGCUGCGGGUUCCGGCCGUUAAACCACCUUCAUAACCCAAGGUUGACCUCGGAUCAGGCAGGAAGACCCGCUGAACUUAAGCAUAUCAAUAAGCGGAGGA
rnacentral:misc_RNA from 1 species